UGCCCUGAGGUUUCUAGGAAGGGACAGUUCUGAUUCUAGAACACAACUCUUGGCCCUCUUUCUGUUGCUUGAAUCCUGUAGAAAUUGAAAACGAAUUGUUCUCCACGUCAAGACAUCCAGGGAACUGGCAUGCUACCUGGCGCCUAGGGACCCGAGAUCCUUAUCGGAAGGGGAGGGUGGGGCCAGGAAUGUGGAGGGUAGAAGACAGGAUUUCCUGCAGAAAUUCAGCUUGAGUCUCAAAAUACCACUGGAACUAGUAACACGGCUCUUUCCCUCUUCCUCUUCCCUACCCACCAGCAGCCCACGCAGGAACAGCUCCUCAGGGAUCCAGGUCUGAGGGCUGCAUUUGACUGUUUAUAGAACAGCAAGAAAUAGACUAAUCUUCACCUGCUGACAAAGUGAAUGUGGGUUCAACUGCCUUUAGAGAACCAGGAGAGCCCGGGAGCUGCUGACGCAGAUGGAUAAGCCCAGAGACUCACUGAAAGUCAGGUUAGACUCAGCCGGCGGAGAUGGGCAGACGCCACGGUCUAGCGAUUAGAGGAAGAGCCGGAGAAGAGGUGACACUGUUUUUCCUGGACCUUAAAGCAAAGACAGGAUUCACACAUGCAGCAGUGGUGGGAAAAUGCUACAGGUGCAGAAAAUGGGAAGUGGAGUUUGACUGGAGCCUCUGUGAGCCUUGCCCAGACUGGGGAGAGAAACAAUACUUUGUUCAUCUUCGAAUCUCUAUGAACUGGAAGACUAUCUAUGCUUCGUAAUAG